rnacentral:snRNA from 1 species
GGAUGUGAGGGCGAUCUGGCUGCAACAUCUGUCACACCAUUGAUCGUCGGGGUGAUCUGGCUGGCUAGGCCGGUGUACCCUUCCUCCCUCACCGCUCCAGGUGCGUCCUUCCCGAAGCUGUGCGCUUGGUCGAAGAGGGCGACCUUCCCCCAUAGAGGAGGCCCGGUCUUCGGUAAAGAGUAUCCAGAGUAGCUGUGCUCCCCUGCCAGAAUCCCCAAACAAACUCUCAAAAUACACAUUCAUGAAUGAAGCUGAUACCCGUCACAGAUGGAAAUAUGGCACUUU